rnacentral:rRNA from 1 species
AUUGAACGCUGGCGGCAGGCCUAACACAUGCCAGUCGAACGGUAGCACAGGGGAGCUUGGCUCUUGGGUGUGGAGCGGGGGGGGGGGGUGAGGUAUAUAGGGAACUGCACGUUGGAGGGGGGUAUAAAGUGGAAAAGGUUGCUCUUACCGCAUAUCGGACCUAGGUGUAAGAGCGGGAGAUUUGGGCCUCUUGCGAUAAGGUAUGCGCCGAUGGGAGUAGCUAGUAGGUGGGGGAAUGGCACCCCUAGGCGACGAUCUCUAGCUGGUCUGAGAGGAUGACCAGCCACACUGGAACUGAGACACGGUCCAGACUCCUACGGGAGGCAGCAGUGGGGAAUAUUGGACAAUGGGCGCAAGCCUGAUCCAGCCAUACCGCGUGAGUGAAGAAGGCCUUCGGGUUGUAAAGCACUUUUGUCGGGAAGGAAGGACAGCAGGUUAAUACGUUCAUGUAAUGACGUUACCCGAAGAAUAAGCACCGGCUAACUCCGUG